CGUUGAAACACAGGUUCCCGUAAGAUCAGCGAAAUUAAGCAACAUCGAGCCGGGUUAGUAUCUAGAUGGGUGACCAUUUGGGAAUACUAGGUGGUGUAA